rnacentral:sRNA from 1 species
UAAAUUUCCUCCUUGAGGUCUCAUCAGAAUUGGAGCCACUUUUCCUCUGCAAUACUGGUUUGGUCCUUGUUUUUCAAGGUGGCUGGGAUGAGCCCUUGGGCGCCUCAGGUGCCUGUAUCACCCACUCCUCCCUACCAAAGGGGGCAUUUUCCUACAGAAUUGAAAAUAGUUUGCAGCUGACGCCUGAGCCUACCCAUUUCGUUCUGAAUGCAAUUUCAGCAGCCCACUGUAGCUCCCCUGCUCUCCCUCCCAGGCACGGAACAGCCAUGGCCCAAGAUGAGUCGUGUCCAAAAAUGGAUCUCUGAGAGCGCUACUGACUUGUCCAAGUUCACAUCACUGUUCCACCAGUGGAGGGACUGGGACAGACCCACAGGAGUGCUUUUCCCACCAUCAUCUCAGCCCUCAGUAGAGCAGGAGUGAGGAAGCGGGAGGCUUGAAGCACGAGUGUGAAACAUCAGACAUCACCUCUGCCCUCAGGGCUCUGGAGACCUCAAGCAUCCACAUAAUAUUUAAAAUAAUAAAACCAAAGAGUAGACAAUAAAGGACCAAGAUGGAUAUCUGGGCUGUAUAUUC